rnacentral:rRNA from 1 species
AGCGAACGCUGGCGGCAGGCUUAACACAUGCAAGUCGAACGCAUCCUUCGGGGUGAGUGGCAGACGGGUGAGUAACACGUGGGAACGUACCCUUCGACCUGGGAUAACUUCGGGAAACUGGAGCUAAUACCGGAUACGCCCUUUUGGGGAAAGGUUUACUGUCGAAGGAUCGGCCCGCGUCUGAUUAGCUAGUUGGUGGGGUAACGGCCUACCAAGGCGACGAUCAGUAGCUGGUCUGAGAGGAUGAUCAGCCACACUGGGACUGAGACACGGCCCAGACUCCUACGGGAGGCAGCAGUGGGGAAUAUUGGACAAUGGGCGCAAGCCUGAUCCAGCCAUGCCGCGUGAGUGAUGAAGGCCUUAGGGUUGUAAAGCUCUUUUGUCCGGGACGAUAAUGACGGUACCGGAAGAAUAAGCCCCGGCUAACUUCGUG